UACGAAGGGGGCGAGCGUUGUUCGGAUUUACUGGGCGUAAAGGGCGCGCAGGCGGCUCAUUUUGCCAGGCGUGAAAGCCCCGGGCUUAACCUGGGAACUGCGUUUGAUACGGAUGGGCUAGAGUUCGGGAGAGGAGAGUGGAAUUCCCAGUGUAGAGGUGAAAUUCGUAGAUAUUGGGAAAGAACACGGUGGCGAAGGCGGCUCUCUGGACCGAUACUGACGCUGAGGCGGCGAAAGCGUGGGGAGCAAACAGG
rnacentral:rRNA from 1 species